CUUAAUUUUUAUACGACCGCAAAAUUUGAAAAAGUUUUCGUCGUAUAUUGCUAUCACGUUGGCGUCGUCGUCGUCCGAAUACUUUUAGUUUUCGCACUCUAACUUUAGUAAAAGUGAAUAGAAAUCUAUGAAAUUUUAACACAAGGUUUAUGACCACAAAAGGAAGGUUGGGAUUGAUUUUGGGAGUUUUGGUCCCAACAUUUUAGGAAUUAGGGGCCAAAAAGGGCCCAAAUAAGCAUUUUCUUGGUUUUUGCACUAUAA
rnacentral:lncRNA from 1 species